rnacentral:rRNA from 1 species
UACGAAGGGGGCUAGCGUUGCUCGGAAUUACUGGGCGUAAAGGGCGCGUAGGCGGAUAGUUUAGUCAGAGGUGAAAGCCCAGGGCUCAACCUUGGAAUUGCCUUUGAUACUGUCUAUCUUGAGUUCGGGAGAGGUGAGUGGAAUGCCGAGUGUAGAGGUGAAAUUCGUAGAUAUUCGGCGGAACACCAGUGGCGAAGGCGACUCACUGGCCCGAUACUGACGCUGAGGCGCGAAGCGUGGGGAGCAAACAGG